rnacentral:lncRNA from 1 species
GGAGUAGUGGCUUAAAUGAACUUUGGCUACUUCAUCAAGCAGGCUGAUUACUGAGGAAGCAUCAGAAGUCUCAGCUGAGUGACUCAUCAGCAAAAUUCAACAGAGUUUCAGAGGGAAGGGAAGGGUGCUUUCUGCUGAUACUGCACCUGCGGAGUUAUGAAGGUGAGCGGGUGAAUCCUAUUUAACUAUUUAAAUUCUAACUUCAAGCAUUUUUAUAG